GUUCCACCCCAAACAACAAACAACUAUUUUCAAGUACAAUACAAUAUCGUUCAACAAAAAUGCUAUAUUGCAAUCAAAUAUUUCACUGGAGGCUCUGGUCAUUGCAAUUUGCAAUUGAAUAUUUCAUUAAGAUGCAUGCACGAGAGUCUCUGAUCAUCAUCGACCAGUCCAACCAACGGUCUUAUUUGUUGUAAUCCCAAAAUUUACUAGAUCUUGUGGAGGUGGAGGUGGAGCUCUAGGCAUACUUGGCUUUGCAGGGUCAACGAAUAUUACCCAUCCAUCCAAGAAUUUGGCGUUCAUUCCUUCACGAGCCUUUUCUGCUUCUUCUAUUGUUUCAUAAGAAACAAAUCCGAACCCCUUUGAUCUCCCAGUUGCUCUAUCAGUAAUUACUUUCGCUUCCGUAAGACAUCCAAAUUCUUCAAAUGCCUUUCUAAGGUUUUCAUCACCAGUGUAUCUUGAAAGCCCGCUGACAAAAAGCUUUGGACUUGUGAGCGUUGAAUUCAAACGAAUUGAAGAAAACUGUGAUUGAACAAUCGUCGAAGAUCCACUGAAAAUGCGACGAAAUAAUGCCAUUUUAACAAUAAACAAACGAUUGUUGUGAACAGAUUGUAGUUCUGGGAAUUUUAUUGGGACAAGGUUUAGGGUUUAU
rnacentral:misc_RNA from 1 species